GAUGAACGCUAGCGGCAGGCUUAAUACAUGCAAGUCGAGGGACAGCACAGGUAGCAAUACUGGGUGGUAACCGGCAAACGGGUGCGGAACACGUACACAACCUCCCUUUAAGUGGGGGAUAGCCCAGAGAAAUUCGGAUUAAUACCCCGUAAUAUAGUUGAAUGGCAUCAUUUGAUUAUUAUAGCUACGGCGCUUAAUGAUGGGUGUGCGGCUGAUUAGAUAGUUGGCGGGGUAACGGCCCACCAAGUCUACGAUCAGUAGCUGAUGUGAGAGGAUGAUCAGCCACACGGGCACUGAGACACGGGCCCGACUCGUACGGGAGGCAGCAGUAAGGAAUAUUGGUCAAUGGCCGAAAGUCUGAACCAGCCAUGCCGCGUGAAGGAUUAAGGUGCUCUGGAUUGUAACCUUCUUUUAUUUGGGACGAAACAGGGCCUUUCCGGGUCAGCUGAGGAUACCAUAUGAAUAAGCACCGGCUAACUCCGUGCCGGCCGGCGCCGUAAAAC
rnacentral:rRNA from 1 species